GAUGAACGCUGGCGGCGUGCCUAAUACAUGCAAGUCGAGCGAACAGAUAAGGAGCUUGCUCCUUUGACGUUAGCGGCGGACGGGUGAGUAACACGUGGGUAACCUACCUAUAAGACUGGAAUAACUCCGGGAAACCGGGGCUAAUACCGGAUAACAUUUAGAACCGCAUGGUUCUAAAGUGAAAGAUGGUUUUGCUAUCACUUAUAGAUGGACCCGCGCCGUAUUAGCUAGUUGGUAAGGUAACGGCUUACCAAGGCAACGAUACGUAGCCGACCUGAGAGGGUGAUCGGCCACACUGGAACUGAGACACGGUCCAGACUCCUACGGGAGGCAGCAGUAGGGAAUCUUCCGCAAUGGGCGAAAGCCUGACGGAGCAACGCCGCGUGAGUGAUGAAGGUCUUCGGAUCGUAAAACUCUGUUAUUAGGCAAGAACAAAUGUGUAAGUAACUGUGUACGUCUUGACGGUACCUAAUCAGAAAGCCACGGCUAACUACGUG
rnacentral:rRNA from 1 species